AACUCAAAGGGAAUUGACGGGGGCCCGGCACAAGCGGAGGAGCAUGUGGUUUAAUUCGAUGAUACACGAGGAACCUUACCUGGGCUCGAACGUAAGAUGACUGUAGGUGAAAGCUUACAUCUCUUCGGAGCAUUUUACGAGGUGCUGCAUGGUUGUCGUCAGCUCGUGCCGUGAGGUGUCGGGUUAAGUCCCAUAACGAGCGCAACCCCUACCUUUAGUUGCCAUCAGGUUAAGCUGGGGACUCUAAAGGAACUGCCUACGCAAGUAGUGAGGAAGGCGGGGAUGACGUCAAAUCAGCACGGCCCUUACGUCCGGGGCUACACACGUGCUACAAUGGCCGGUACAAAGGGUUGCGAAGCCGUGAGGUGGAGCGAAUCUCAAAAAGCCGGCCUCAGUUCGGAUUGGAGGCUGCAACUCGCCUCCAUGAAGUCGGAAUCGCUAGUAACCGCAGAUCAGCUACGUUGCGGUGAAUACGUUCCCGGGCCUU
rnacentral:rRNA from 1 species